rnacentral:rRNA from 1 species
UACAGAGGGCCCAAGCGUUGUUCGGAUUCACUGGGCGUAAAGGGUGCGCAGGUGGGUUUGCAAGUUCGAUGUGAAAGCCCCGGGCUUAACCCGGGAAUGGCAUUGGAUACUGCAGAUCUGGAGGAUCGGAGGGGGGACUGGAAUUCUUGGUGUAGCAGUGAAAUGCGUAGAUAUCAGGAGGAACACCGAUGGCGAAGGCAGAUCUCUGGGCCGUAACUGACGCUGAGGAGCGAAAGCGUGGGGAGCGAACAGG